CUGAAGUGCGAUACUGCUCCUAUAAAAACUUACCGGAGCUACAAAGAUGAUGAAGACAUCAAAGCGACAUGGUAUUUGAGUGAACUUGCAAAGAUCGAGACCUUUGAAUUAGAUCUGAGGAAAAUCUAUAUUAUAUGUAGAAAACUUCUUGAAUGGAUCAAAUUAUGUCCUUCAAAGAUAAAGAAAAAAGUAUCCCACAUUUAAUAGAAGGAGGUAAAG
rnacentral:misc_RNA from 1 species